UACGUAGGGUGCGAGCGUUGUCCGGAAUUAUUGGGCGUAAAGAGCUCGUAGGCGGUUUGUUGCGUCGACUGUGAAAACCUGGGGCUUAACUCUGGGCUUGCAGUCGAUACGGGCAGACUUGAGUCCGGUAGGGGAGUGUGGAAUUCCCGGUGUAGCGGUGAAAUGCGCAGAUAUCGGGAGGAACACCAGUGGCGAAGGCGGCACUCUGGGCCGGAACUGACGCUGAGGAGCGAAAGCGUGGGGAGCGAACAGG
rnacentral:rRNA from 1 species